UAAUACAUCGGAACGUGUCUUCUAGUGGGGGAUAACUGCCCGAAAGGGCAGCUAAUACCGCAUGAGACCUGAGGGUGAAAGCGGGGGAUCGCAAGACCUCGCGCUGGAAGAGCGGCCGAUGUCCGAUUAGCUAGUUGGUGAGGUAAAGGCUCACCAAGGCGACGAUCGGUAGCUGGUCUGAGAGGACGACCAGCCACACUGGGACUGAGACAUGGCCCAG
rnacentral:rRNA from 1 species